rnacentral:rRNA from 1 species
GACGAACGCUGGCGGCGUGCCUAAUACAUGCAAGUAGAACGCUGAAGGAGGAGCUUGCUCUUCUGGAUGAGUUGCGAACGGGUGAGUAACGCGUAGGUAACCUGCCUGGUAGCGGGGGAUAACUAUUGGAAACGAUAGCUAAUACCGCAUAAGAGUAGAUGUUGCAUGACAUUUGCUUAAAAGGUGCAAUUGCAUCACUACCAGAUGGACCUGCGUUGUAUUAGCUAGUUGGUGGGGUAACGGCUCACCAAGGCGACGAUACAUAGCCGACCUGAGAGGGUGAUCGGCCACACUGGGACUGAGACACGGCCCAGACUCCUACGGGAGGCAGCAGUAGGGAAUCGUCGGCAAGGGACGGAAGUCUGACCGAGCAACGCCGCGUGAGUGAAGAAGGUUUUCGGAUCGUAAAGCUCGGUUGUAAGAGAAGAACGAGUGUGAGAGUGGAAAGUUCACACUGUGACGGUAUCUUACCAGAAAGGGACGGCUAACUACGUG